CAAUAGCGUAUAUUAAAGUUGUUGCAGUUAAAAAGCUCGUAGUUGGAUUUCUGGUGGGAGCGAUCGGUCUGGCGCUUAGCGCGAGUACUUGCAUCGUCUCCGGCCAUCCUUGGGGAGAGUCUGUCUGGCAUUAGGUUGUCGGGCAGAGGAUCCUCAUCGUUUACUGUGAAAAAAUUAGAGUGUUCAAAGCAGGCUUAUGCCGUUGAAUAUAUUAGCAUGGAAUAAUAAGAUAGGACUUUGGUACUAUUUUGUUGGUUUGCGCAUCAAAGUAACGAUUAAUAGGGGCAGUUGGGGGUAUUCGUAUUCCGUUGUCAGAGGUGAAAUUCUUGGAUUUACGGAAGACGAACUACUGCGAAAGCAUUUACCAAGGAUGUUUUCAUUAA
rnacentral:rRNA from 1 species